rnacentral:rRNA from 1 species
AUAUUGCGCAAUGGAGGAAACCCUGACGCAGCGACGCCGCGUGAGCGAUGAAGGUCUUCGGAUCGUAAAGCUCUGUCCUUGGGGAAGAAGAGUGUCGUACUUGACGGUACCCAUGGAGGAAGCGCCGGCUAACUACGUGCCAGCGGCCGCGGUAAUACGUAGGGGGCAAGCGUUGUCCGGAAUUAUUGGGCGUAAAGGGUGCGUAGGCGGCCUUUUAAGUCAGAUGCGAAAGCCCACGGCUCAACCGUGGGAUUGCAUUUGAAACUGGAGGGCUUAAGUAUCGGAGAGGGUAGUGGAAUUCCCAGUGUAGCGGUGAAAUGCGUAGAUAUUGGGAGGAACACCAGUGGCGAAGGCGACUUUCUGGUCUGUAACUGACGCUGAGGCGCGAAAGCGUGGGGAGCAAACA